AAAAAUUGAAUCACAAGGAUCUAUUGUACGUAGCUUUACUCUAUAUUUCUGUAAGAGAUUAUAAUUGCAGCUCAAAUUUGUGACCUUCAGAUUACAUAUAACAACUUUACUGAUCACACCAAACCUCCCUUCAUGGGAACAGGUACUCCCAAUAGUUUUAUUUGCACUCUCCUUCAGCAUCUCAAGGUGCAGAUGACCAACACCAAUAUCAACAAACUCAUCAUGCAUUUCAUUCCACUCUAUGUUUGGGUCCCACAUUGCGUUGGUUUUUACAUUCGAGAUUUUAC
rnacentral:lncRNA from 1 species